rnacentral:rRNA from 1 species
UACAGAGGGUGCGAGCGUUAAUCGGAAUUACUGGGCGUAAAGCGCGCGCAGGCGGUUCGCUGUGUCCGAUGUGAAAGCCCCGGGCUUAACCUGGGAAUGGCAUUGGAAACUGGCGGGCUUGAGUGUGGCAGAGGGGGGUGGAAUUCCGCGUGUAGCAGUGAAAUGCGUAGAGAUGCGGAGGAACACCGAUGGCGAAGGCAGCCCCCUGGGCUAACACUGACGCUCAGGCACGAAAGCGUGGGGAGCAAACAGG